rnacentral:lncRNA from 1 species
AAGCCUCAUUAUGAUAAGCUCAUUGUUCUAAUCCCCAAGCAAGUCUUGGCUUGUUAAAAUGAAAAAGUGUCAAAGGCAAGAGUUAAUAAAGGGUAGAGGUCACAAGUGAAUCUGUAGAGACUGCCACAUCUAAACAUGUACCAUGUAUUUCUAGUUUUCAGAGCAAAGCGGACGCCAAAAAAGCUUUACAAAAACGAACUUCCACAAAAAAUAAAACGUACUUCCCAUUUUCCAUACCCUUCAAGUAAUUCACAGUUAAAAACCAACUCUGCUCCAAACCAGAAGUUUUGCAUUCCAUUCAAGUUAACAAUUACAACUGGAGGAUAACAGAAACUGGCUGGCACUGAAUUAUUAGCAUACCCAAAAGUCAGGUGCCUCUUGGUACCACCAGGGUUAACAAGAUAAAGAGAGAGCACCCAGGGAUCAUCUACAGCACACAUGAACGUCAAUGAAGUCCGGAGCUCCUGUGGGCAGCUCGCACCUACCUACCUGCUCUUGGAGCUGAGAAAUGAGAA